UUUUAACUUCCUUUCUAAUUCUGCAUUUUAUUUUAAUAGUUAUUGCUAUAAAAUCCAAAUCUAAAAAAACCUCCUUCUUAGUCCUCUUUUGCAAUAAUUCAUAUAGUUCUCCUUACAAAACUUAUUGUAACCUUACAAGCGAUGUCAAAUGAUUACAAUUGUCUUUCAGAUAUAUCAAUUUCUUCCAGUCCUUCAGGAAAGUCUGGUCUUGCUGGUUCCGAAUUUCCCCAGUUAAUUUCGCCAACUCAGCAUAAUCCAUCAAUUUCAUCUGCCACUCUUCUUUUGUUGGUAAUUCUUCCUGUUUCCAUUGUUGGGCUAAUAGUAUUCUUGCUGCAGUUGCCGCAUAUAAAAACAAUUUUUUAUCAUGCUUAUGAAUCUCUGUACCUACAAUACCAAGCAAAAGGGCUUCUGGUUUUUGUUUUUUUACAAAUGUAUAUUUCAACAUUUUAAAAAUCUCAUUAUAAAUCAUUUCCCAGAAGUCCUUCACUUUCUUGCAUUCCCACCAAAUAUGGUAAAAAAUACCUUCUUUUUUCUUACAUUUCUAACAUUUAUUAUUUGUUUUAUACAUUUUAGUUAAUUUCACUGGUGUUAUAUAUUAUCUGUACAUCAUUUUCAUUAUAUUUUCCUUUAAAGCACUGCAGGCAGUGAAAUUUAUUCCGUCUUUCCAUAAUUUUUCCCAAUCUUCUAAUUGUAUAUUAUGACCAAUAUCUUUAGCCCAGUGUAUCAUAACUGAUUUAAUUUUCUCAUCCUUCAAAUGCCAUUCCAAUAAUUUAUAUAUUUUAGAUAAUAUUUUAACUUUAUUAUGUAACAAUUCUAAUUCCAAUCUCGAUUUUGUAUAUCCAAAUCCAUUUUUCUUUUUAUCAUCUUUAAACAUUUCAUUAAUUUGAAAAUAAUGCAACCAAUCAUUCACAAAACCUUUAACCUCCUCAUAUGGUUUUAAUUUCCAUUGGUUAUCCAUCUCCUUCACUAAUUGUUCAUAGGUGACCCAAUUUUUACUCACAUUUAUCUUUUUCACACUCAUUGCCUUGAGAGGCAAUAGCCACCAUGGCAUCUUACGUUCUAAUUCUUAUAUCUAUCCCACACCUCAUGAUUUUUGACAUAUGUGGUUCCCAAAUCCUUUAUGAACUUUUACCUUAUCGUACCAUAAAUAUGCAUGCCAUCAGAAUCUGUUAUCAAAUCCUUCCAGAUCUAAUAGAUCUGUAUCCUCCAACAAAAUCCAAUCCCUUAAUCAACAAAGGCAAGAAGCUUCAUAAUACAAUUUCAAAUCUGGCAAGGAGAAGCCACCUCAUUCUUUUGUAUCUGUAAGUAGUUUAUAUUUAUUUAUUGGCUUCUUCCCUUGCCAAAUAUAUCUUGAAAUUAUUUUUUGCCAUUCUCUAAAGAUACCUACACCACUGAUAAUCGGGAUUGAUUGAAAUAAAAAUAACAUCUUUGGUAGCACGUUCAUUUUAAUACCAGAAAUUCUACCCCAUAGGGAUAGUUUCCUCCUUCCCCACACUUCUAAGUUCCUUUUGAUACCAUUCCACACUGGUGUGUAGUUAUCUUUAAAUAAAUUUAUAUUUUUUGUUAACCAAAUUCCUAAAUAUUUUACUUUUUUAACUACUUCUAUCCUACUCUGUUGUUGCAAGAUAUCUAUCAGAUCUUGAUUCAUAUUCUUAACUAACAUUUUUCUUUUCUUUUUUAUUUAAUUUAAAACCUGCUACUUGUCCAAAUUGUUCAAUUCUUUCUAGUGCUUCUCUAGCACUAGUUAAUCGUUAUUCCACUGUUAUAACCAAGUCGUCUGCAAAGGCCUUUAAUUUAUAUUCUUUCCGACCGACAGAAAUUCCCUUGAUUUUUCUGCUUUUCUCAUAUUAUUGAAGAAGACCUGUAGGACCGUAAUGAAUAAUAAUGGGGGAUAAAGGACAACCCUGUCUUGUACCUUUCGUAAUUUCAUUUCCCCCCAUUAAUACAUUGUUUACUAUCAAUUUAGCUUUUAGAUCUGAAUAUGCCUCUUACAAAAGAUUGUCCCAUUUCCAUAAAUUCCAAAUUCUUUAUCAUAAAUUCCCAAGAAAUAUUAUCAAAGGCUUUUUCUGCAUUUACAAAUAUCAAUGCCGCUUGCUUAUCAUUCCUGACCAUCAAAUACUCAGUUAUAUCAACUAUGUUCCUUAUGUUAUCUUUCAUUUGUUGUCCUGGAAGAAAGCCAGCUUGAUCUUCAUCUGUUCCAUCUAGCUCAGUGUUUGUUUGUUUGUUUGUUUGUUUGUUUGUUUUAAAAAUGUUUUUAUUAACAAUUUCAACAUAACAAAUUAUCAAAACAUAUCAUAUUAUUUCCCCCCCUUUCCCCACCCCCUUCAAACCCUCCCCCCUCCCCCCCGAGACUUCCCUCAGCUCCUCUCUCUGAUUUCUCAGCACCUAUUAUUCUCUGCAUGUUAUAAAAUUAUACAUAUCCUUACAUUAUCUAUCUACCAUGUUACCAACUAAUAAAUUUGUGUAUGUUUAUUCAAAACCUGCCAAGGAGUCCAAUUCAUUUUGUUGUCUUUUUAGAUAAAUUGUGAAAAGCUCCCAUUCAUCCUUGAAGUCACAGUUGUCCUUUUCCUGCAAUUUAUAUGUCAAUUUAGCCAGCUCUGCGUAGCUCAUCAAUUUUUCUUGCCACUCUUCUUUCGUUGGGAUUUCCUCAUUCUUCCAUCCUUGUACUAUCAGGACUCUUGCUGAUGUUGUAGCAUACAUAAAUAUGUUCUUUAUUUUUCUUGGCAGGUCUUGUCUUACAAUCCCUAACAAAAAUGCUUCUGUUUUUUUUACAAAUGUCAUUUUAAAAUUUUUUUUUCAAUUCAUUAUAUAUCAUUUCCCC